AAACUUAGGACAUGAAAAUGUUCCUGUAGCUGGGGAGAAAGGUUUUCCCUUCCCUUGGUUGUUCAGUUCAACAAAAUCUCAAAAAGAAGCGGAGCUAUUUAGAGAUUACCUGAAGCAAAUAAGGGAAGAGACAAGUUGGAGAUUACUCAAUGUUGCAUUUCGGGCUAAUAGGACUCCGAACAAAUGGUGGCUAGCAUUUGCAAAGAGAAGAUUUAUGAACAUACUUGAUGAUUGAGGCUUAGUCUUUU